rnacentral:tRNA from 5 species
GCCCCUGUAUCCCAAUUGGUAGAGGAGACAGCCUCAAAAUCUGUACAGUGUGGGUUCGAGUCCCACCGGGGGCACAA